rnacentral:rRNA from 1 species
GACAGAGGGUGCAAACGUUGUUCGGAAUUACUGGGCGUAAAGCGUGUGUAGGCGGCUACAUAAGUCGGAUGUGAAAGCCCCGGGCUCAACCCGGGAAGUGCACUCGAUACUGCGUAGCUUGAGUCUCGGAGAGGUUGGUGGAGUUCUCGGUGUAGAGGUGAAAUUCGUAGAUAUCGAGAGGAACACCGGUGGCGAAGGCGGCCAACUGGACGAAGACUGACGCUGAGACACGAAAGCGUGGGGAGCAAACAGG